GCUCUGCCCCGCCGCUGCCAUCCCCGGCGGAGCGGCGGGCGCGGGGCGGGGAGCGCGGCGGGCGGGAUGCUCGGCGCCCGCAACAGGCGGCGAAAGUUGGGGCCGGGCGGAGCGGGCAGGUGCGCGGCCCCGAGCCCCGCCGCUGACUGCCGCGGCUGGCCGCUUUUGCUCUUUUUGAUCCGCGGCUCGGGGAGAGCGGGAGCGAGAGGCUGGCUUGCGGAGGAGAGGAGGUGCAGCGAGGGAGACCGCCCCACGCCGCGAAUUCGGCCCAGGGUCUCUGCAAUGAUUAAUCCGGCACCAUUCCCAGGAAACCUUAUAAUGGAACUAUACUCAUCUGACAUACAUUGAAAUAAGCCCAUUAAUUUCAACGUCUUUGGAGACAGAGGGAGAAAAGUAAUGAUUUGUUGCAAAUGGAGAAAAUGGAGAAGUGGAGCCAGUUGGGAGAAUGAAGAAUCAUGUUCAGUCUUUUAAAAGCAUUUUUACAAGCCAUGGAAGAUAGUAAGGAAAAAAAAAAAAAGGAGUUAUAGCCAAGCAAAAUUUGGCAAUGACCUCCAUACUGCCUGAGUGGUAAGCACACCCUGCCUCCUGUGAGCAAAGUAGAUGGAGGAGGCAACCCCUCAGUGUCUGAGGUGAUGAUGGCAUCGGUUCAGGCCCCCCACUGCUCCCCGUGCCUGCAGCAGCAGGGCUGAAGCCUCUUUACAGGCUUACAGUAUGGAUGAAACACCAAACAACCAGUAUAACCCUUCAAAUAACAAAGAAACACAGCUGAAACCUCAAAACAUAAAAAUGGAGGGAGAUGCUGUAAAAUAUGGGCACAGCGUGUAUUUAAACACGUAGAUCUCAGCGGUCCCACCUGGAUCACUAGAGAUGGGCCCAGCUUGAGCUUCACGUGGGCUCAUCAGCCUGCUGGGCUUGAGACGUGGCCCAGAACCUCCAGCCCGGUGACUCACGCAUUGCCUGGCCCUGCAACUAACAAAAAACUGCAGCUGAAGGUAUGAGGAAAGGUAAUGCCACGGGAUGGGAUCAGAGGUCUUCCAGAUGGAUGCAAAGGAACCAGUAGACCCAAGGGGAAUUUCAUGUGGCUGAGUGUCAGCUGUGCUACAAGCUGUUUUUCGGGUACCCAUGUGGGAAAAAGCCUGCAUGUAAGAUACGUUUUCAGUGGGUAGGCUUGUGAGAGAAGUGUUUUCCUGCACAAAUAAGCCUAUAUGCAUUCUUCCAAAAAGCUGGUAUAAAGCUUUAGUUGGAUUUUCUGAAAGAUUAGUACCAAUAGUUCAAAGAACUUUUUUUUUUUUUCCUCUUUUACGCAGAUGAGUGCAUGAACUUACCCUUUGUAACAGCUACACAGUAAUAAAGGCCUAGAGUUACUGGAGAGCUGCUCAGCACUUCAGAAAUGAUGGCAAAUAAGCAGGAGUAACAACCAGUCGUAUGAUGGUAUCCCCUGUAAAGGAUAGGGAAAAAAAAAAAAAAAAAAGAAAGAAAAAAAAAGAAAGAAAAAAAGCCACUGUUCUGAAAGAUUUGCUGUUGCCACAAAUCCAUGCAGAUACCUGCCAAGUGGAUGUGGAUUCCGGUGUCUUUGCUCUUUCAGCGUCAAAUAGUUUUCAAGCCUCUGGAGUAAAAUAUACAGACUCUGGAAGACAACGAGGGGAGGAUUCACAUGAUUAGUAUCAAGAAAUGUAUUGAAGAAAGCUGAGGCUCAGAGAUGUGGCAUAACAUUGCUUAAGAAACAGCUGGUUUUGUGUUUUAGACCAAGAGCGGACUAUUCGCAUGUGUGAUUUCAAUAAGCCGUGUGAGAACUGCGUUUGACACCACCGUGCCCACCAAGAAGGAAGUAGCUUCAGUCUGUAUGCACUGAGAACACCAAGGGCUAUGAAGACCUAGAUAGAAGUGAGACUUUUUAUACUGAAGUAAGCUUUUCUGUACGGGCUUGGAUAUAUUAGUGCCUUUGCAUGUGUAUUCCUGGCUUUCUGCUUUUUGGGUUAGUGUUUGCCCUGUUGCUCGUGGUGUUCUCCCGGCUUCUUGUGUCUUUGCAAACUCCGCAGAUGCAUGUAUUUUCACCCAGUCUGAGGUUUGCUGCCUGGGUUUGCAAGAUGUUAAUCACAACAGACGUGCAUAAAGGAAGACUGCAAAAUGCUUUAUGUCCUUCUCAGUUUACAGAGCCAACAUCUUAGUUUUGACUUACUGUCUAUUUGGUUAAGAUUAAUUAUUUUAGAGGCACUUUUGUGAUUAGACCUUCACAUAAAUUUGAAGAAGCCGCUCUGUCUGUCUCUCUUUCUCUCUUUUCUCUUUCCUCUUUCUUUCACUUUCUUCCUCCCUUUCUUUCUCUCUCUCUCUCUCUCCUCCACCCCCCCUUCCUUCCUUUCUUCCUUUCUUAUUUCCUGAAAAGGUAUCCUGUGAGCACCUUAUUUUCCUGAUAUUCACGUUUCUUUUUAGAAUUAUUAACAUCUAAUGGGCUUUCUGGGUGUGUACGUGUAUGACUGUGAACCGUAUUUUUUAAAGGCUUCAUGUAUUUUAAUCAUUAGUCUUGUCUGAAAGAGAAACAAUUGAACUGCUAUUGCAUUUACAAUGCAUAGACAGCAUUUUAUUUGCAGUUACAAUCUUCUUAAAAUGUAAGCCUUCAGCAUUUCAAAGUUCUUUUACAAUUUUCAUUAAAUCUUUCCAUAAAAUUACUUUCCGUAGUUUAGCAGUCAGCCA
rnacentral:lncRNA from 1 species